rnacentral:rRNA from 1 species
GAUGAACGCUGGCGGCGUGCCUAACACAUGCAAGUCGAACGGAAAGGCUCCUGCUUGCCGGGGUACUCGAGUGGCGAACGGGUGAGUAACACGUGGGUGAUCUGCCCUGCACUUCGGGAUAAGCCUGGGAAACUGGGUCUAAUAUCGGAUAGGACGAUGGUUUGGAUGCCAUUGUGGAAAGUUUUUCGGUGUGGGAUGAGCUCGCGGCCUAUCGGCUUGUUGGUGGGGUAAUGGCCUACCAAGGCGUCGACGGGUAGCCGGCCUGAGAGGGUGUACGGCCACAUUGGUACUGAGAUACGGCCCAGACGCCUACGGGAGGCAGCAGUGGAGAAUAUUGCGCAGUAGGCGCGAGCCUGAUGCAGCGACGCCGCGUGGGGGAUGACGGCCUUCGAGUUGUAAACUCCUUUCGCUGGAGACGAAGCGCAAGUGACGGUACCUGGAGAAGAAGCACCGGCUAACUACGUG